rnacentral:rRNA from 1 species
UCUGACGGAGCACGCCGCGUGAGUGAUGAAGGUUUUCGGAUCGUAAAGCUCAGUUGUUAGGGAAGAACAAGUGCGAGAGUAACUGCUCGCACCUUGACGGUACCUAACCAGAAAGCCACGGCUAACUACGUGCCAGCAGCCGCGGUAAUACGUAGGUGGCAAGCGUUGUCCGGAAUUAUUGGGCGUAAAGGGCUCGCAGGCGGUUUCUUAAGUCUGAUGUGAAAGCCCCCGGCUCAACCGGGGAGGGUCAUUGGAAACUGGGAAACUUGAGUGCAGAAGAGGAGAGUGGAAUUCCACGUGUAGCGGUGAAAUGCGUAGAGAUGUGGAGGAACACCAGUGGCGAAGGCGACUCUCUGGUCUGUAACUGACGCUGAGGAGCGAAAGCGUGGGGAGCGAACAGGAUUAGAUACCCUGGUAGUCCACGCCGUAAACGAUGAGUGCUAAGUGUUAGGGGGUUUCCGCCCCUUAGUGCUGCAGCUAACGCAUUAAGCACUCCGCCUGGGGAGUACGGUCGCAAGACUGAAACUCAAAGGAAUUGACGGGGGCCCGCACAAGCGGUGGAGCAUGUGGUUUAAUUCGAAGCAACGCGAAGAACCUUACCAGGUCUUGACAUCCUCUGACAACCCUAGAGAUAGGGCUUUCCCUUCGGGGACAGAGUGACAGGUGGUGCAUGGUUGUCGUCAGCUCGUGUCGUGAGAUGUUGGGUUAAGUCCCGCAACGAGCGCAACCCUUGAUCUUAGUUGCCAGCAUUCAGUUGGGCACUCUAAGGUGACUGCCGGUGACAAACCGGAGGAAGGUGGGGAUGACGUCAAAUCAUCAUGCCCCUUAUGACCUGGGCUACACACGUGCUACAAUGGACAGA